CUCUAUCCUGAUUUCCAUCAAAUCAAUUUUUGCAUUUCAAGGAAAAUCAAAUAGAGAUAACCUAAACACCCAUCAUCGGACUGCUCCCAGGCACCAGCCAGCGUUUCCGGCCGGGAGUCUGACGUGACCUCAGUCCAUUCCGACGAAGCUGUCUGACGUGACCUCCAUCCAUUCCGACGAAGCUUUCGACGAUGCUCCGACUCCAUCCUGCAGCCACCGCAAUCGCUUCCGAUUCCGACGCAGGCAGCCUCAAACGCGGCCAUGAGAUUCUUCAUAACAUGUUUCUGUUGCACAAGUCGUAGCGGCUAUGAGAUUCUUCAUAAUCUCUUUAUGUUUCAGCACCUAAUUGGAAGCGUUUGAGGAGCAGUUUUGGUGAUGACCCCGACGUUAAACAAGGCAAACCAUCACCGGAUGUGUUUCUUGUUGCGGCGAAGAGAUUUGAGAGGAAUAACAAAGUGUUUCGAAGCGAGGAAAUACAAAUGGAGAAACUGUUUGAAGAGUCGAAAAUUAUGGCGUGGAGAUGGCUCAAACAUAAAUCAAAUUAUAUUGCAGAUGAUAUAGCCGCGUCGUGCAAAAAUCCUAAGGCGUGUAUUGGCAUAAUUGACGGAUGAGUAAUCUGGUGCGUACAGAGCUGGAGUGGUCCCCGUCAUCGGGCGUCGAAUUCUGAUUUGCAGCCGUACGUCUUUCUUAAAUAGACUAAAUUCUGUCAAGAUAGAUUUUUUCAGCAGACUGAAUUCUGUCAAGAUAAAUUUUUUCAGCAGACUGAAUUCUGUCAAGACAGCUCUUGGCGCUGGUAGUGGUAACCGACAUAACGCAUUGCUUGGCUUCAGUUGGCGAGGGUGGACCGGUAGAUCCAAGUAACAUACUUGUUUUUGAAGAUGCACCAUCUGGAUUUCUUGCAGCUAAGAAUGCUGGGAUGUAUGUGACUUGAAGCAGCUUGUUUUAUUUUUUACGUGUUCACUAGGCUCUAACCGUUCUCUUUCCCUCUCGCGUAUAAUAGUAUCUGUCACCUACAGUAUGAGACAUGAAGAAUUCUGAAAUAUGAAUAUUAGAACAUUUUUCUGCUUCUUUUAGAACAGUUGUUUUAUGGUUGUGGAGCUAAGGACUGCACAAAAGCUUUUUCAUGCUGCUGAAUUUGUGUACAAACAUCUGAAGCUGAAACACGCAUCGCUUGCUGUUGAACAAACUUCAAAAUUGCGCAACGAUCUCUAUACUCAAAAUUACAUGAAAUCCAUAUGCUUCUGGUGGAAAGCCUGUUAUGCUGCAAUCUCAAGUGAACUACUAUACGCAUUGCUUGCCGUAAGUAUGAGAACAAUUUGUUGUUAGAAACUCACCCAUCUCAUAUGAUAGAGUCGAUGUUGGCCAGGGAUAACAUGAACUAACCAAUGUUUACAUUUCAGAUGCAAUUUUGUAUUACAUUUAUCAAACAUAUGAUUUGCAGGAUGUGGUAGAUGUUAUAUAAAAUAUAUCCAAGGAAAAUCAUCGUAAAACGAUUAGCAUACUUUCUAUGUCCGGUUGUGUAUCAAACAUUGUUGAUCUUACUCCGAACAAUCCCAAACACUGCAAGGGCAAAUUUGAGAUGCAUUUUAUGUCUAUAAAAUGUCUCUCUGAUGAUGAUGGUCGUCAAUGUCGUGGAAAGGUAACGUGUAUCGUUACAUGCUGAGAUGAAAAGGAAAUUCUAUUAGCAAAUACUUCUGUCAUAGUGGCUGGCUAUGCUAAAGUAAGCAGAUCAUAAAUUCUUAUGUUUUAUAUGUUAGAACAUACAUAAUUUUAAUCAAAAUGGCUACACUAUUUUGUUCUAUUUAAGUGAGUAACUUUGAAUUAACAAUCUUUAUCUUUUGGUUAAUUAGAUUAACUGCAACUUUAUUCAACACAGACACCGAUAUUAACAGGUGCAAGAAUUUCAGCAUUUGCUGCUGUUGCGACUCGAAAUGAUGACAAAAGUCCCAUAGAAGCCAUCCUUCUUAAAGUAAGCAAAUCAUAUUUCUUCUAUUAUUUUCUUUACUAUUGACAGAAAUUCACGUGAGACUUAUAUUCAAAAUGGUAUAGAAUCUCCAUAACUUUGAAUUAACAAUCUUUAUCUUUUGGUUCAUUAAAUGAUUAAGGCCAAUUUUUAUCCAACUAAAGAAUACUCUACAAAAGGUUAUCAAAGAAGAACAAACAUUUACAUCUGGUUUUUUGCAACAGCUUAAUCAGUGGGAGAUGGGAACAUAGUAAAAUCCCACAUCAGCAACUAGUCUAGUGCUUCAAAUGCGCAGGACUUGAAGUCUCCUUCUGUAGUUGACAAUUGUUUGGUCAUGAAGUCUCCUUCUGCUGGGGACAUUUGAAAUUAAGUUUCUAAUCUUCUAUAAAACUGAAAAGUUCUUGUUUAAUUCUGGCGCCGAGAUUGUGUGUACACUCGGGAAAUGAUAUUCCAUAAACAUUAUUGUUUCCUCUUCUUUUCAGUUGAGUUUUUUAAGAAUGGAUGAUUAGAAAUUUAAUUGUCAUGC